CACGUAGGGCGCGAGCGUUGUCCGGAAUUAUUGGGCGUAAAGAGCUCGUAGGCGGCCUGUUGCGUCCGCUGUGAAAGCCCGGGGCUUAACCCCGGGUCUGCAGUCGAUACGGGCAGGCUAGAGUUCGGUAGGGGAGAUCGGAAUUCCUGGUGUAGCGGUGAAAUGCGCAGAUAUCAGGAGGAACACCGGUGGCGAAGGCGGAUCUCUGGGCCGAUACUGACGCUGAGGAGCGAAAGCGUGGGGAGCGAACAGG
rnacentral:rRNA from 1 species